rnacentral:rRNA from 1 species
GAGUUUGAUCCUGGCUCAGGAUGAACGCUGGCGGCGUGCCUAACACAUGCAAGUCGAACGAAGCAAUCGGGAUGAAGUUUUCGGAUGGAUUCCUGGUUGACUGAGUGGCGGACGGGUGAGUAACGCGUGGAUAACCUGCCUCACACUGGGGGAUAACAGUUAGAAAUGGCUGCUAAUACCGCAUAAGCGCACAGUACCGCAUGGUACGGUGUGAAAAACCCAGGUGGUGUGAGAUGGAUCCGCGUCUGAUUAGCCAGUUGGCGGGUAACGGCCACCAAAGCGACGAUCAGUAGCCGACCUGAGAGGUGACCGGCACAUUGGGACUGAGACACGGCCAAACUCCUACGGGAGCAGCAGUGGGGAAUAUUGCACAAUGGGCGAAAGCCUGAUGCAGCGACGCCGCGUGAGUGAAGAAGUAUCUCGGUAUGUAAAGCUCUAUCAGCAGGGAAGAAAAUGACGGUACCUGGACUAAGAAGCCCCGGGCUAACUACGUGCCAGCCGCGACCCG